UCGCCUGUUUAACAAAAACAUAGCUUUAUGAAAUUUCAUAUAAAGUUUUACCUGCCCAAUGAUAUUAUUUAAAUGGCCGCAGUACUUUGACUGUGCUAAGGUAGCAUAAUAAAUUGACUUUUAAUUGAGGUCUAGAAUGAAUGGAUAAAUGAAUAUAAACUGUCUUUAAGAAAUUUAUCUAAACUUUCUUAAUAGGUGAAAAUUCCUUUAAUAAAAUUUAAGGGACGAGAAGACCCUAGGAGUUUUAAAGGAAACUUUUGUUGGGGCAACAUUAUAGUAUUUAACCUAUAAUAUAAUAUUAGAUAUAACAAAUAUAUUAAUUUUAAAUAAACUACCCUAGGGAUAACAGCAUAAUUUAUUAUUAAAUAAGUUUGUGACCUCGAUGUUGGACUAGGGACUUUAUUUAUUAAAUAUACUUAUUGACAUGUUCUGUUCGAACAUUUUAUACCUACGUGAUCUGAGUUCAGACCGGA
rnacentral:rRNA from 1 species